rnacentral:lncRNA from 1 species
UACAUAAACAAUAGGGCAGAGGAAGCAAUCGGAUAGGCAUUUGCUUCAGGUGAGCAGAGGGAUGACUUUCUGUCCCACAUCUGUGAAGAUCAGCUGUUGGUUUACAUUGCCAGGGUGAAAUUCAACAGAACUAAUUUAGGGUGAAGAUCUUGAGGCCCACAAGGAAUUUCCUUGUGGGAAAAUUGUGAGGAAAUUCUUGGAGGCUGAAAGAACACAUGGAGAGCAGUGUUUUUCCAGCUUCUGUGUUGGUAAGAGCCUGGAGUCUCUCUCUCUGUCUCUCUCUCUCUCUCUCUCUCUCUCUCUAUCACACACACACACACACACACACACACACACACACAGAGCAAUCACUGCACCCAGCCACCUCUAUAUACAUGUACACAAAGCCACACAGUUUACACAGUCACAGGUAUUUAAGUACACACUAUUCACACACAAAUACAUAUAUAGACACACAUGUACAGUCCGUCCAAAAUAUAUGUACAUAAAAGCACACUAUUACACCUUCAUAUGUGCACACACACACACACCCAGACUCACUUCAUACACACAUAGAUACAACAGCCACAGCUCCCCAUCACCUACACACACACACACACACCUGGACACCCAGCUCUAAUAUAAUCAGAUAGAGAUAUGCAUGCAGACAAAUUUGCCUGUAUAGUCAAACACAUAGGCAAAUAGAGAACGAGACACCACAUGAACAAAGGCAAACCUACACACAAAGACACAGAGCACACUUACGCAUAUAUCUAUAGACCCACCAUGGCACAUAUGGGUAAGUGCACACAGGCAAACUCACACACACGAGCAUGCACAGGCAGAGAACACAAAUGUACACUCCCAGGUGUCAUAAAGAACAGCCCAGCUUCGGCUUGGGAACGUCACAUCAGACAAUAGGAACGGCUGCACCGCGCGUUUCCUCGGCUGCCAGCUUCCCAGCCACAGAGGAUGCCUCACCUGCUAUGUCAGCUCCCCUCUGCCCCACCUCACAAGAAGCUCAGAAGCUGAGGAGUCACAGAGAGACCUCCCUACUGUGUCAGAGGAAUAGGUCCUUCUGUCACGGGGCACAGGACCCUUGACCGCAAAAUGACGUGAGUUACCACUGACUAUUUUCUGGGUCUUGAUCUUGUGACUCCAAAUGGAUGGUAAGCUCCUUAAGGGAAAGUCUAUGAUAUUCAUCCAACCACCCAUCCAUCCUUUCAUCCACCCAACCAUCCAUCCAUCUGACCAUCAUCCAUCCAUCCAUCCAUCCAUCUAUCCAUCUUCUAUCCAUCUGUCUACUCACCCAUCCACCCAUCCAUUCAAUUAUUCAUCCAUCCCUCUUCCAUCCAUUCACCCAUCUUCCAUCCAUCUGUCCACCCAUCCAUUCCACCAUUUAUCCAUCCAACCACCAUCUAUUCAUCCAACCACUCGUCUAUUCAUCCCUCUGACCAUCCAACCAUCCAUCGAUUUGUUCAAUUAUUUUAUCAAGCAUCUACACUGCACCACACACCCUAAUGGGUGUUGGGGAGAAAAUGGAGAGUAAAAUCAGAUGGGACCUCUGACCUCAGUGCGGCUGACCAUCAGUCCGGUAGAGGAGACACGUAAACUGACAAUUAUAAAUAAACACAAUGUGUCAACUCUGACAAGUGCUGUGAGGGAGAAAUCAGCAGUACUGAGAAAGCCUUUAUGGUCCUGGUGUGAGAGGUGGGAUGAGCCCAACACAGCAACAACAGCAAGACCAUGGGGGAGUGUGGUGCAGAUGGGCAGGUGUACAGAGCAUGCAGGCCAUGUCUGCCAGCCCUCUCUUUGUGCAUUAGCAACAGUAAAACGGGGCUUGUGUUUGGGCAGAUUAUACCACUGGUCUUGCAUCCCAAAUGUCUCUUUGUUCACUCGUUUAUACAAACAUGCUCAAUAAUAUUUAUGCAUUUUUACUGUGACAUCAUUUUCUUAUAUAAUAAAAGUGCCUAUUUAUAUACCGUAUAUGUAUAUAUAUAAUACACAGAUGCACACACACAAGCACACAUGCACAGAGCUUCUUGACAGUCAGUCCCUCAUAAGGUAGUCCACUGAAGUGCAGUCAUCACCAUCCUCAGACCUCAUGAUUAUAUAACUAGAGCACCUUAUAUUUUUAUAUUUUAUUAUGUAUUUAAUAAUCACAUAACUCUUUAGUGAAUGCCAAUUAAUUAGGAGAAUGACAUGCCUUCUCUCUGCUCCUCAUAAUAUCCCCCUUAGAUAGGUUUUAUCUCCCCACUUACAAGAUGUGGAGACUGGGCCGGGCACGGUGACUCACGCCUGUAAUCCCAGCACUUUGGGAGGAUGAGGCGGGUGGAUCACAUGAGAUCAGGAGUUUGAGACCAUCCUGGCCAACAUGACAAAACCGUCUCCUCUAAAAAUACCAAAAUUAGCUGGGACUGGUGGCACGUUCCUUUAAUCCCAGCUACUCGGGAGGUUGAGGCAGGAGAAUUGCUUGAACCCAGGAGGCAGAGGUUGUAGUGAGCCAAGAUCGUGCCACUGCACUCCAGCCUUGGUGACAGAGCAAGACUCUGUCUCAAAAAACAAACAAACACAGGUACAGCUUGAGCAAAGACACAGAAGCAGAAGGCAGGUUUUUGGUUCCAUGAACUCUACAUCUGGCUACAUACAAAUGGUGAAGAGGAACAGGGAGAAACAUGGUUGAAAAGAACAGGCUUGGACUUCAGGAAGCAGUAAAAUGAGCGAAUGCCAUUUAUGGUUACAAAGAUAACUCAGCUGGGGGCCAAACAGAGACUGAAAUGGAGUGGGUGAGGAUGGAGGCCGGGAGGAGAUGGCGGUCUCCAGGACACAUGUGCAUGAGUUCCUCUAGGAAACCACGGUGUACAACUGCUGGGUUGCAGGCCCAGGGUUCUUUCCACUUCUCUAUCCUCCCAAGUAGGGUCCAGCUGGCCUUAGUGCUGCCAUGCUGAGAGCUCUGGGAGGGGCAACCCAGGGCAGACAGGCCCAGGCCAGCCACCCUGCCCCAGGCAUUUCCCAGGACUCAUCAGGCACCCAGCGGCCCCUCAGCAGUGAGCAAUACCAGAAAUCUGCCAGCUGG